rnacentral:rRNA from 1 species
UACGUAGGGACCGAGCGUUGUCCGGAAUCAUUGGGCGUAAAGAGCGUGUAGGCGGCCCUUUAAGUCCUGCGUGAAAUCCUGCGGCUCAACCGCAGACGGUCGUGGGAAACUGGAGGGCUAGAGUGCGGGAGAGGUGAGUGGAAUUCCCAGUGUAGAGGUGAAAUUCGUAGAUAUUGGGAAGAACACCGGUGGCGAAGGCGGCUCACUGGCUCAUUUCUGACGCUCAGGCGCGACAGCGUGGGGAUCAAACAGG